rnacentral:misc_RNA from 1 species
UGGUUCUGGCAUCGAUGAAGAACGCAGCGAAAUGCGAUAAGUAAUGCGAAUUGCAGAAUUCCAGUGAGUCAUCGAAUCUUUGAACGCACAUUGCGCCCUUUGGUAUUCCGAAGGGCAUGCCUGUUCGAGCGUCAUUAUCACCCCUCAAGCCCCCUCGGGUUUGGUCUUGGACGGUUUGGUCGCGGUGACGCGACCCCUCCUAAAAUCAAUGACGGCGGACCCUGACGACCCCCGGUACACUGAGCUUCCCUUAACCGGAGCACGUACCGUUGUGGGUGUAGACGGGACCCCGGUCUUCUUCCCUCUCGGGGGAAAAAUUUCCAAUGGUUGACCUCGGAUCAGGUAGGGAUACCCGCUGA